rnacentral:rRNA from 1 species
AUUGAACGCUGGCGGCAUGCCUUACACAUGCAAGUCGAACGGCAGCGCGGGGCAACCUGGCGGCGAGUGGCGAACGGGUGAGUAAUAUAUCGGAACAUACCCUAGAGUGGGGGAUAACGUAGCGAAGUUACGCUAAUACCGCAUACGCACUAAGGUGGAAAGUGGGGGAUCUUCGGACCUCAUGCUCAUGGAGUGGCCGAUAUCUGAUUAGCUAGUUGGUGAGGUAAAGGCUCACCAAGGCGACGAUCAGUAGCUGGUUUGAGAGAACGACCAGCCACACUGGAACUGAGACACGGUCCAGACUCCUACGGAGGCAGCAGUGGGGAAUUUUGGACAAUGGGGGGCAACCCUUGAUCCAGCAAUGCCGCGUGAGUGAAGAAGGCCUUCGGGUUGUUAAAGGCUACUUUUGUCUAGGAGAACCGGUAGAGUUCUAUUAAAGACUCGACUAAUGACGGUACGUCACAGAAGAAGAC